UUUUUACCACAGGAAUACGAAGUCGAACGAGAUGUUGUCGUGACAUUAAUUGGUGUGAUGUCCUUGAUAAGCGCGAUAUUCAACGCCAUUUUAUUACUUGUUAUAAUAAAAGACCCGUUUAAACAAUUGCGAAAUAUAACAGCAAUUUUACUGGCUUUUAACUCAGCAGCAAAUUUUGGUUGCUCCCUGAUUUUGCUUCUGUACAGCGUGUUUUUCUGGAGUCAUCGGAAUUUAUUCCCUGCAGAACUUGUUGUAUACUUGAACUCAUGUGCUGUGAGUUUAUACUUUAUUGGAAACCUCCUACACACCUUAAACAUUUAUGGCACCAUUGUCGUUCCAGUCCGUUACACUUAUUUGUCUUCGAAAGUCCGUAAGAUGUUGGUUCAAUUUCUGGGGUUAAUAUUCGUCAUUAUUGUGUGUGUGAUUAUGAUUCCUGCCUAUGCAUUACCGAAGACCAAAGUCUUUUCAUAUGUUGAAGGAACAUUAACAUUUGUAUGCGUCCAACUUGCGCUGUUGACUGUAAUAUUUGUGUAUCUAUAUGCAAGGAUAUUUCAAGCAUUAUACGCACGGAAACAGAGACUCUCCGUAUCUUUUAACAUCGAACGUUCAACUCCAUGCGGAAUAAAAAUAAUGAAAAAAAACUAUGAAGUUGCGAAGACAUUAUUCAUUCAUGUUCUUUUCUUUAUGUUAGCUACGGUCCCAGUAGUUAUAAUUCUUAUGAUAGUUCUACAUUGUACUUCGUGUGGUGACCCUACCAAACUUCAUCUAGCUAUUCUCUUCACAUUGCCUUGUGUCUACACUACUUUUGUAUUUCAUCCGAUCCUCUGGCUGUCUAGGCUAAACAGCUAUAAACAAGCGAUGAAACAAACUCUAAGUUUCGGUCGAAGAUCACAAUUGACAUCUCAGUUGAACAAUAAUAAUUGCAGCAUGACCUUGGAAGAAAAUAAGCCAAGGUCAGGAACUGUAUCCUCAGUAACUUCGUUCUAACUUUCUAACGCUGCAGAUGGAAUGAAAUUGUUUCAAUCACCGCUUAAAACUUGAUUUAAACCUUGUCAAACAAUUCGCUUGUAACCUUUUGUUUCUCUACAAAACUAUAAAAAGUUUGGUCAGUGUCUUUCAAGAGUCUCAGUGUACUGUAUAGUUUCCAGUGUCUCAGUGUACUGUAUAAUCACAAGAAAUCGUACGAAAACCGCGAGGCAGAUUUCUUUAUCACAGCAAUAGCCUGCGUUGCAGUGCAUAUAUAGUGAGGUGAAGAUGUGAGCUUCCCCGAAAAUGCCACCGCCGGAAACAAUUGCAGUCCAGCACGGAAAAAGACUCACUGAACCUGUACGCCAUCAGGAAACAUACUAAAAUAUCAUCAACUGUUCAAUUCAUUUGAAUAAAAUUAAAGUUGUUCGAAAAACAAUUAGUUUGGGCUCGGUCCGCAUUGUAAAUUACAAAAUAUAUUCUCUUAUUUAAGUGUACCUCUCUUUAUUUUGCUUUAGACAGGAAGAAGUGUCUAUAUCGUGGCUAUAAAUGAAACUCAUCAAAUAAUGUUGAAUUGCUGAAUACUUUGAUAUGCAUAUUUUAAUGAUCACAGUCUCAGCUGCAUGUUAUCUUUCAACUACUGAAUUCAAAUUCAGUGGCUCGACACAGAACGCGGUCAUUUGGAUGCGCAGCAGAUACGGCUUUCUGGUACGCUUUAAUGAAUAAUAGGCAACGAGAGGAAAAGGGGGAAAAGUGGAAUAAAAACUUGCGGAACAUUUGUCAACAUUAACGCUUUCCCCUUUCGUACUUUUGUACAAUAGAAAUAUUUUACAUAUAGUAUUUAGCUUUGUUUUAUUGCAAAUAUUUAGUUAUCUUUUCAGUCCUGUUAAAACAUUGGUC